AUUGAACGCUGGCGGCAGGCCUAACACAUGCAAGUCGGACGGUAGCACAGAGGAGCUUGCUCCUUGGGUGACGAGUGGCGGACGGGUGAGUAAUGUCUGGGGAUCUGCCCGAUAGAGGGGGAUAACCACUGGAAACGGUGGCUAAUACCGCAUAAUGUCGCAAGACCAAAGAGGGGGACCUUCGGGCCUCUCACUAUCGGAUGAACCCAGAUGGGAUUAGCUAGUAGGCGGGGUAAUGGCCCACCUAGGCGACGAUCCCUAGCUGGUCUGAGAGGAUGACCAGCCACACUGGAACUGAGACACGGUCCAGACUCCUACGGGAGGCAGCAGUGGGGAAUAUUGCACAAUGGGCGCAAGCCUGAUGCAGCCAUGCCGCGUGUAUGAAGAAGGCCUUCGGGUUGUAAAGUACUUUCAGCGGGGAGGAAGGCGGUGCGGUUAAUAACCGCACCGAUUGACGUUACCCGCAGAAGAAGCACCGGCUAACUCCGUGCCAGCAGCCGCUGUAA
rnacentral:rRNA from 1 species